AACAAUUGAAACUCAAAUAGGCAUCUUUUCAAUACUAUUAAACCCCAGAAAACGAGCAUACAAGUUACUUGGGCUUCAAAAUCACCCAAAUUUCAAUCACAUGGAUUUGUUCCUUAAACAAAUAAAGACAGAAGAAAGAGCUGAAAGCAAGCAUGUGACUAAUUCAUGGGUAUUUAACUACCAACUAUCAAUCUAAGCAGUACUGCAACCAUUCAAGUCCAUAUAUCAAGAUACAAUUACUAAAUGAACUCAAAGCUUUUAGAUUCCCUAAUAAUAACAGUCUGAAUGGACAUAUGAACAUAUAACAAGACUCUGAUGAACAUGGAACUAGAAUGUCCUAAGGCAAAAAUGCCAUGAAACAGGAUAGCAUCUUCAUUCAUUCCCACUUUAAACAUUCCAUUUGAGGUUGGAUGAAUACCUGUUUACAACGAAUAGAACAAAUGAAAUGAGUUGGGGGAAAGAUCACAGCAGCAGCAAAAAAUAGUAAUCAAACAGUAACAGCACCAGCAAAACUCAAACCCAACUUUAAAGGUCCAAAGCUUAAUCCAUGUUAACCCAGGUGCAGAAAUGUGAAAUUCUUCAGAAGUUUUAACUAAUAAAGAGACUCAGAAGACAGAAUUUGGGCUGAUGUCAGCAAGGAACCGCAGGAAGUUCCAUGUUAUCAAAGAGAAGCAGCCGUUUAUAAUUUUCAGGAUUUUUCUCUAUUCAACCCCCUCCUUCAAAGGCAAGAAUGAUAUGCCUUUAUAGGCCAGGCCAUAGGGCAAACUUCAAAAUCACAUAUUCCCUUUCUACCCCCUUUAAAAUUCUGGUUUUAGCUUAGGGAUCCCUAAAUUUAUGACUUGUUACCCAAGUUAACCCAUCAAAAGGUCUGAAAUAUCCCAGAACCCCUCCCUAGAAGCUUCUAUUUCUUUUAUCAAAGAUUCCCCCCAUGUCCUAUUUCCUAAACUACCCUCAAAUGGCCCUGAAAUUACCCUGGAUACCAACCUGGGUCAGACGGGUAUAGGUUAUGAACCCCAAAUGGGCUCAAUGUCUCAAUGGACAUGGCCUUAAAUUCAAACCGAGCAUGAUUCUCUUGGAAUGAGGUCCGUAUUGACCUCGGAGCCCAAAGGUGACUCAAAACAAAGUCAGAAAAAUUAACAAACCAAACAACCUGACAAAUUAAUGAUUACAAACAAACGAGGAACUAAUUAAGCUAUGGAAUUAAACUAAAUGACCAAAUUAAUAGUUCUAACAUGGCAGCAAAUCAGAAACUAAAAGAGAAGAACAUAGCAGAAGGGUCACAUAAAUGAUUUUGAAAAACAAAACAAGCAGAAAAGAAUGGGACUCACCGACCAGACUUGAAAUCCAAACUGGAGCAUUGGUUUGACCCAAGAUAAUGGCAAACGUUUGUUCUUAUUGAAAAACAAAUGAGUGUCACUAUUUUGUGCCAAAACCAAACCAAACAACCCAAAAUUCCUAAACGAUUCGCAUGCACGACCACAUCUUGAGGCUCCUAGGGCUCGAUUUUUGAUUUGAAAUUCGAGGGACUAUAGGGAUGUUUGAGGGAAUCUAAGUGGGGAUUUAGGGUGAAGGAGAGAUGGGGUUCAUGGGUGUGAUUUUGGGAGUGGUUGGAGGUGGCGCCGCCGGUUGAGGCGGUGGAAAAAUAGGGCGGCGGAUUAGGGUUUGGAGCUUCUGAGCCAGAUUCGAGAAAUUCAGGCGUGAUUUGAGGGAAAAGGGGUGUGGAUUUGGAAUGAAGAGAAGGAGAGGGAGCUAGGGUGUAAAUUUGGUGGCCAUCGGAGACCUACCGCCGCCGUAGGGAGAUUUCCAGCGGCGGUGCACGGUGGGAUUAUGUUGGGGUUUUUUAGAGUGUUGGAGA
rnacentral:lncRNA from 1 species